UGGGGAAUAUUGCACAAUGGGCGAAAGCCUGAUGCAGCAACGCCGCGUGAGUGAUGAAGGCCUUCGGGUUGUAAAGCUCUGUCUUUUGGGACGAUAAUGACGGUACCAAAGGAGGAAGCCACGGCUAACUACGUGCCAGCAGCCGCGGUAAUACGUAGGUGGCAAGCGUUGUCCGGAUUUACUGGGCGUAAAGGAUGCGUAGGCGGAUUUUUAAGUGAGAUGUGAAAUACCCGGGCUUAACUUGGGUGCUGCAUUUCAAACUGGGAAUCUAGAGUGCGGGAGAGGAGAAUGGAAUUCCUAGUGUAGCGGUGAAAUGCGUAGAGAUUAGGAAGAACACCAGUGGCGAAGGCGAUUCUCUGGACCGUAACUGACGCUGAAGCAUGAAAGCGUGGGUAGCAAACAGGAUUAGAUACCCUGGUAGUCCACGCCGUAAACGAUGAGUACUAGGUGUAGGAGGUAUCGACCCCUUCUGUGCCGCAGUUAACACAAUAAGUACUCCGCCUGGGAAGUACGAUCGCAAGAUUAAAACUCAAAGGAAUUGACGGGGUCAUAGCUGUUUUCCU
rnacentral:rRNA from 1 species